UCCUACGGGAGGCAGCAGUGGGGAAUUUUGGACAAUGGGCGAAAGCCUGAUCCAGCCAUGCCGCGUGAGUGAAGAAGGCCUUCGGGUUGUAAAGCUCUUUUUAGUCGGAAAGAAAAGAUCAUAAUGAACAAUUAUGAUUCAUGACGGUACCGACAGAAAAAGCACCGGCUAACUACGUGC
rnacentral:rRNA from 1 species